rnacentral:rRNA from 1 species
CCUUUACUGCAGCUUCGCCUUGGCGUUAGCAGCAACAUGUGUAGGAUAGGUGGGAGGCUAUGAAACCGGGGCGCCAGCUUCGGUGGAGCCAUCCUUGAAAUACCACCCUUGUUGUUGCUGACGUCUAACCGCGGCCCGUCAUCCGGGUCCGGGACAUGGCGUGGCGGGCAGUUUGACUGGGGCGGUCGCCUCCCAAAGCGUAACGGAGGCGUCGCGAAGGUACGCUCAGUAGCGGUCGGACAUCGCUGACGAUCGAGUGCAAUGGCAUAAGCGUGCUUAACUGCGAGACUGACAAGUCGAGCAGAUGCGAAAGCAGGACAUAGUGAUCCGGUGGUUCUGUAUGGAAGGGCCAUCGCUCAACGGAUAAAAGGUA